rnacentral:lncRNA from 1 species
AUGGGCCCGAAGGCGCGAGUCUCCCCGAGGCGGAACGUGUGUUUGGGUGGGUCGCGUUUCCGGGGGUCCGGUAGGGGCGGCGGGCGGGGUCCGGGCGGAAGCGGGCUUGGGGUCCGGGCGGAAGUGCGUCUCGGGGGGAAGGAGCCGGCGGCGGGACGCGGGGCCCAGCAUGGCCGCCUGACGCCCAGCCGGGAGCCGGGCCGGGGCCGGGGCCGGGGGCGGGGGGGCCGGGCCGGGCCGGGCCGGGCAGGGCAGGGGGCCGGCGCCCGAGGACCAGCCGCGGUAAGGACCGCGGGACCCCGCCCGGGACGCGGAGCCGCCGCCGCCGCCGAGGGAGGCAGGGAGGGAGGCAGGGAGGGAGGGAGCGAGGGAGCGACAAGGACCGUCCCCGCCCACCCCCCAACAGCCCUCUCCUCCCCUCCCCCACCCGCACACGCACACACACACACACACAGAGGCAGAGACCCCCCUCCCCCCCCCCCCCAUGGCUCCCACCUCAGGGGCCCCGCAUUUCCCGGGGAACACCUCCCUCUCCUCCUCCCCAUCUACCUCCUCUUCUUCUUCUCCUCCCCUCCCUCCUCCUCUUCUCCACCUCCUCCACCUCUUUCUCCUCCUCUACCUCUUCCUCUUCUCUCCCUCCUCCUCCUCUUUUUCACCUCCUCCUCCGCCUUCUCCUCCUCCCAAUCCUCUAUCUCCUCGUCCUCCUCCUCCCAUCUAUCUCCUCUUCUCCUCCUCCUCCUCCUCCUCUCCGUCCUCCUCCUCUCCCUCCUCUUCUCCAACUCCUCUUCCUCAUCUACCUCCUUCCCUUCCUCCUCUCCACCCCCUCCUCUAUCUCCUGCUCCUCUCCGUCCUUCUCUCCCUCCUCCUCCUCUUCCUCUUCUCUCCCUCCGCCCCUUCUCCAUCUCUUCCUCCUUUUCCACCUCCACCUCCUCUACCUCCUCCUCUUCCUCUUCUCCACCUUUCUCCUCCUCCUCCACCUCCCCCUCUUCUUCCUCUCCCUCCUCCUCUUCUCUCUCUCUUCCUCUCCCCCCUCCUUCUCUUCUCCAACUCCUCCUCCUCCUCCUCAUCUCUAGAGAAGCAGCGUGGCUCAGUGGAAAGAGCAAGGGCUUUGGAGUCAGGGCUCAUGAGUUCGAAUCCCAGCUCUGCCACUUGUCGGCUGUGUGA